rnacentral:rRNA from 1 species
CCCUUAGAGGGCCACAACCCUGUAUUGAUCUAUAUGGGCCAACAACAACAGUAGGGGUGAACAAUGAGGUCUGUGGUAGACAAAAGGGAACGCCGAUAAGCGCGGUAGAGGGACGGUAGCUCACAAUCUCUCGCAAAAAUACACNAGUUCGCUCACGUUCCGGAAUUAGUAGAGUGCGUGCGAUACUCGCUUAGUCAAUGAACGUUAGGACAUGCGCUAGUACAGUCGCAGUACUCUAUGACACUGUCUCGGUGACAUACCUUCCCGUUCGUUACGCUCNAACCUUCGCUAGCUGCCUANUU